rnacentral:rRNA from 1 species
AGCGGCAGGCCUAACACAUGCAAGUCGAGGGGUAACAUGGUCUUCGGACUGCAUGACGACCGGCGCACGGGUGCGUAACGCGUAUGCAAUCUACCCUUAUCUGGAGAAUAGCCCGAAGAAAUUCGGAUUAAUGCUCCAUAGGUAUUUUAGAGUGGCAUCACUUUAAAAUUAAAGCUUCGGCGGAUAAGGAUGAGCAUGCGUCCUAUUAGUUACCUUGGUGAGGUAACGGCUCACCAAGGCAGCGAUACGUAGGGGGCCUGAGAGGGUGAUCCCCCACACUGGUACCGAAGACAGGGACCAAGAUUCCUACGGGAGGCAGCAGUGACGAAUAUCGGUCAAGUGAGGCGAACAGUCUGAACCAACCAUGCCGCGUGCAGGACGACGGCCCUACGGGUUGUAAACUGCUUUUAUAUGGGAAUGAGACCCUCGAACGUGCACGCAGGCUGAGAGGUACCAUACGAUUUAAUGGAUCGUGCUAACUCCGUGCCAACAGCCGCGGUAAUACCGAGGAUCCAAGCGUUAUCCGGAUUCAUUGGGUUUAAAGGGUCCGCAAGCGGCAU